rnacentral:siRNA from 1 species
CCCAAACUACUUGUUCACCA